rnacentral:rRNA from 1 species
CAGCACCUCAAGUGGUCAGGAUGAUUAUUGGGCCUAAAGCAUCCGUAGCCGGCGCUGUAAGUUUUCGGUUAAAUCUGUACGCUCAACGUACAGGCUGCCGGGAACACUGCAGCGCUAGGGAGUGGGAGAGGUAGACGGUACUCGGUAGGAAGGGGUAAAAUCCUUUGAUCUAUUGAUGACCACCUGUGGCGAAGGCGGUCUACCAGAACACGUCUGACGGUGAGGGAUGAAAGCUGGGGGAGCAAACCGGAUUAGAUACCCGAGUAGUCC